AUACCCUUUUCAGGUUGAUACAGUGCCUUAAGAGGCUAACACAGGAAGAUAAAGGAAGCUUCUGUAAAACCCAAAGGUGUAUCUGUCACUGCAAAAUGGAACUUUAAAAGUUAGGAUUGGUUUGGUUUGGUUUGGUUUUCCUUCAGAAAA
rfam:Fukomys damarensis contig134384, whole genome shotgun sequence.